CGCCAGCGAACAGGACACGAAAGCAUAUAAAUUGAGUUGAGAAAUUAUAAGGGAACAGUAUAACACUGGCCAUCGUCGAAAUGAGAUUCCUUGUGUUAUUCGCUGUGCUUCUGACAGUAGCGGUCUCCUUCGCGAGUGCUGAAGAAGAAACUGCUGGGGGUGAUGUGACUCCAGCGCCACAACCAGGAAAUCCUAUGUUACCUUCGAAUAUCCUCAGCAACCUGCAAAAUUUGAUGAAUAAGAUAAGGGAGACUUUGGGUCUCGCUAGAUCCAUUCCUGUCCUCAAGGAGGUUUCUAGGGGUGAAGCGUCAGAGAAGGAAGAACGGGAGAGAUUUAUGCAAAAGAAGAGGGAAAAAACUUCAACCAAAGCUCCUGUGACUCCUGCUGAAUGAGCCACGCGAUUUGAGUGAACUACAUUGUUCAAUUCCUCCGGCAAUAAAUUGGGAACUUUAAAAA